ACCUCGGAUCAGGUAGGAAUACCCGCUGAACUUAAGCAUAUCAAUAAGCGGAGGAAAAGAAACCAACAGGGAUUGCCUUAGUAACGGCGAGUGAAGCGGCAAUAGCUCAAAUUUGAAAUCUGGCGCUUGCGUCCGAGUUGUAAUUUGCAGAGGAUGAUUUUGGUUAGGUACCUUCCGAGUUCCUUGGAACAGGACGCCUUAGAGGGUGAGAGCCCCGUACGGUUGGAUGCCGAGCCUUUGUAAAUCUCCUUCGACGAGUCGAGUAGUUUGGGAAUGCUGCUCUAAAUGGGAGGUAAAUUUCUUCUAAAGCUAAAUACCNGGCCAGAGACCGAUAGCGCACAAGUAGAGUGAUCGAAAGAUGAAAAGCACUUUGAAAAGAGGGUUAAAUAGCACGUGAAAUUGUUGAAAGGGAAGGAUUUAUGACCAGACUUUUUCUAGGAGGAUCAUCCGGUGUUCUCACCGGUGCACUUCUUCUAGUCUAGGCCAGCAUCGACUUUCGGCGGUGGAUAAAAGCUUUGGGAAUGUGACUCCUUUCGGGGAGUGUUAUAGCCUAUUGUAUA
rnacentral:rRNA from 1 species